GCGAAUUCGCCCUUAGAGUUUGAUCCUGGCUCAGGACGAACGCUGGCGGCGUGCUUAACACAUGCAAGUCUACGAGAAAGUUUCUUUCGGGAAGCAAGUAAAGUGGCGCACGGGUGAGUAACACGUAAGCAAUCUACCUUUAGGUUUGGAAUAACUCCGAGAAAUCGGGGCUAAUACCAGAUGAUACAGCGAUACCGCAUGGUAAUGCUGUUAAAGUCUAUAUGGUGCCUAAAGACGAGCUUGCGUCUGAUUAGCUUGUUGGUAAGGUAAUGGCUUACCAAGGCAACGAUCAGUAGCUGGUCUGAGAGGAUGAUCAGCCACACUGGAACUGAGACACGGUCCAGACUCCUACGGGAGGCAGCAGUGAGGAAUAUUGGGCAAUGGGCGAAAGCCUGACCCAGCAACGCCGCGUGGAGGAUGAAUGUCGUAAGAUUGUAAACUCCUGUUAGAGGGGAAGAAUAAUCCCGAUCGACUCGGGACAUGACUGUACCCUCAGAGAAAGCUCCGGCUAACUACGUGCCAGCAGCCGCGGUAAUACGUAGGGAGCAAGCGUUGUCCGGAUUUACUGGGUGUAAAGGGCGCGCAGGCGGGUUGGCAAGUCAGAGGUGAAAUCCUACAGCUUAACUGUAGAACUGCCCUUGAUACUGCCGAUCUUGAGUAUGGAAGAGAGAGACGGAAUUCCAGGUGUAGUGGUGAAAUACGUAGAUAUCU
rnacentral:rRNA from 1 species